AACUUUUGGCAACGGAUCUCUUGGUUCUGGCAUCGAUGAAGAACGCAGCGAAAUGCGAUAAGUAGCGUGAAUUGCAGAAUUCAGUGAAUCAUCGAAUCUUUGAACGCACAUUGCGCCCCUUGGCAUCCCGAGGGGCAUGCCUGUUCGAGCGUCAUUUCACCACUCAAGCCCGGCUUGGUGUUGGGCGACGUCCCCUUUGGGGACGCGCCUUGAAACGCUCGGCGGCGUGGCACCGGCUUUAAGCGUAGCAGAAUCUUUCGCUUCGAAAGUCGGAGCCCCGUCUGCCGGAAGACCUACUCGCAAGGUUGACCUCGGAUCAGGCAGGGAUACCCGCUGAACUUAAGCAUAUCAAUAAGCGGAGGCU
rnacentral:misc_RNA from 1 species